rnacentral:rRNA from 1 species
UACGUAGGAUGCAAGCGUUGUCCGGAAUUAUUGGGCGUAAAGAGCGCGCAGGCGGUAUGACAAGUCAGAUGUGAAAGAGGCCGGCUUAACCGGCAAGGGUCAUUUGAAACUGUCAGGCUAGAGUGCAGCAGAGGAUAGUGGAAUUCCCGGUGUAGUGGUGAAAUGCGUAGAUAUCGGGAGGAACACCAGUGGCGAAGGCGACUAUCUGGGCUGCAACUGACGCUGAGGCGCGAAGGCUAGGGUAGCAAACAGG